UACGGAGGGGACUAGCGUUGUUCGGAAUUACUGGGCGUAAAGCGUGCGUAGACGGUUGCGUAAGUCAGAUGUGAAAGCCCCGGGCUCAACCUGGGAACUGCAUUGGAAACUAACGGGCUCGAGUGUGGCAGAGGGGGGUGGAAUUCCACGUGUAGCAGUGAAAUGCGUAGAGAUGUGGAGGAACACCGAUGGCGAAGGCAGCCCCCUGGGCUAACACUGACGCUCAGGCACGAAAGCGUGGGGAGCGAACAGG
rnacentral:rRNA from 1 species